GACCCCCGGGGCUUUGCUGCAGGGAGUCUCCUUCUUGAGGUGUCUCCUUGAGGACUGAGAGAGAAUUGCGAGAGCGGAGCGGGGACGGGCGGGGUGAACUCGGUCUCUGGGCGGCGCGUGGGGCCGGUGUGGACGGGAGGGAAGAGGGCGGCAGGGCCGAGGGCGAGAUUCCCAGCCCCCGUCGAGCGCUGGGGAGCGAGGGCUCCGGCUCGGCUCUCGCAGCGGCUCUGGCGAGGAAUGGUGCCGGAGCUCUCGCCGGAGGGGAACACGGCAGGAGGGGGCCUGAGCCGCUUGGGCCUCUUUCCAAGGAGGCGGAACCAGGCCUCCGCUCUCUGCCCUCUGCAGACCUGGCUGCGAGGUCAGUGCUUCCAGUUCCUCGUCCGCACUCGCUGUCGUCCUCCUCACCGGCCGUGGGCGUCCUCGCCGGGGACGGGGCUCGGGGGGGUUAAGCCUGGGGAGGGGCCAGAGUCUCCUGAGCAGAGUGACUCUGUGGGGUGCCGUUAGAAAAGGGGCUUUUUGGUUGUGAUGCUCAAGGUGUAAUGGGAGGAGAGUGGAGGGCAGAUCCCCGCCGUGUGGGAGAGGCAAACAGAGGAGCCUACGAGACGUUGCCGACUGAGAUGGUAACUUACUUUUUUUUUCACCUUGUGCUGGGUUUAGUACCAAGGAAAAAGAAGUCAAGCCUCAGAGUCUACUGCCCUCAUGCGACGGAAAGUGAGUGAGAGCAGCGAGCCUGUGACCGUUGGUGAUGCCAGGCAAGAGCCCUCCAUCUGGGAGCCGAGCAAUCGCCAGUCUCGGUGAGGACACGGGUAGGUGUGCAUUCCCACAGGUGAGGUCUCGGGAGCCAUGGAGAAGUC